rnacentral:rRNA from 1 species
GACGAACCGUGCGAACGUUAUUCGGAAUCACUGGGCUUAAAGCGCGUGUAGGCGGGACGGCACGUCGGUCGUUGAAAGCCCCCGGCUCAACCGGGGAACCGGCGCCGAUACGACCGUCCUGGAGGGACGUAGGGGGACCUGGAACUUCCGGUGGAGCGGUGAAAUGCGUUGAGAUCGGAAGGAACGCCCGUGGCGAAAGCGAGGUCCUGGACGUUUUUUCUGACGCUGAGACGCGAAAGCCAGGGGAGCGAACGGGA